CCUACGGGCGGCAGCAGUGGGGAAUAUUGCACAAUGGGCGCAAGCCUGAUGCAGCCAUGCCGCGUGUGUGAAGAAGGCCUUCGGGUUGUAAAGCACUUUCAGCGGGGAGGAAGGCGGUGAGGUUAAUAACCUCAUCGAUUGACGUUACCCGCAGAAGAAGCACCGGCUAACUCCGUGCCAGCAGCCGCGGUAAUACGGAGGGUGCAAGCGUUAAUCGGAAUUACUGGGCGUAAAGCGCACGCAGGCGGUCUGUCAAGUCGGAUGUGAAAUCCCCGGGCUCAACCUGGGAACUGCAUUCGAAACUUGCAGGCUAGAGUCUUGUAGAGGGGGGUAGAAUGCCAGGUGUAGCGGUGCAAUGCGUAGAGAUCUGGAGGAAUACCGGUGGCUGAGGCGGCCCCCUGGACAAAGACUGACGCUCAGGUGCGAAUGCGUGGGGAGCAAACAGGAUUAGAUACCCGGGUAGUC
rnacentral:rRNA from 1 species